rnacentral:rRNA from 1 species
CAGUCGAACGGUAACAGGGAUUGCUUGCAAUCCGCUGACGAGUGGCGCACGGGUGCGUAACGCGUAUGCAAUCUACCUUUUACAGAGGGAUAGCCCAGAGAAAUUUGGAUUAAUAUCUCAUAGUAUUAUUUUGCGGCAUCGUAUAAUAAUUAAAGAUUUAUCGGUAAGAGAUGAGCAUGCGUUCUAUUAGCUAGUAGGUGUGGUAACGGCACACCUAGGCGACGAUAGAUAGGGGUCCUGAGAGGGAGAUCCCCCACACUGGUACUGAGACACGGACCAGACUCCUACGGGAGGCAGCAGUGAGGAAUAUUGGUCAAUGGACGCAAGUCUGAACCAGCCAUGCCGCGUGCAGGAAGACUGCCCUAUGGGUUGUAAACUGCUUUUAAACGGGAAGAAACCCCCCAACGUGUUGGGGGCUGACGGUACCGUAAGAAUAAGGAUCGGCUAACUCCGUGCCAGCAGCCGCGGUAAUACGGAGGAUCCGAGCGUUAUCCGGAAUCAUUGGGUUUAAAGGGUCCGUAGGCGGCUAUAUAAGUCAGUGGUGAAAUCUGUUAGCUCAACUAACAAAUUGCCAUUGAUACUGUAUAGCUUGAAUAAUUGUGAAGUAGCUAGAAUAUGUAGUGUAGCGGUGAAAUGCUUAGAUAUUACAUGGAAUACCAAUUGCGAAGGCAGGUUACUAACAAUUUAUUGACGCUGAUGGACGAAAGCGUGGGGAGCGAACAGGAUUAGAUACCCUGGUAGUCCACGCCGUAAACGAUGGAUACUAGCUGUUUGUUGCACAUUGGUGUGAUGAGUGGCUAAGCGAAAGUGAUAAGUAUCCCACCUGGGGAGUACGCACGCAAGUGUGAAACUCAAAGGAAUUG